rnacentral:rRNA from 1 species
UACGUAGGUGGCAAGCGUUGUUCGGAAUUACUGGGUGUAAAGGGUUCGUAGGCGGUGCGGCAAGUCGGGAGUGAAAUCUCUGGGCUCAACCCAGAGGCUGCUUCCGAAACUGCUGUGCUUGAGUGUGGGAGAGGCGCGUGGAAUUGCAGGUGUAGCGGUGAAAUGCGUAGAUAUCUGCAGGAACACCCGUGGCGAAAGCGGCGCGCUGGACCACUACUGACGCUGAAGAACGAAAGCUAGGGGAGCAAACAGG